UACGUAGGGAGCGAGCGUUGUCCGGAUUUAUUGGGCGUAAAGGGCUCGUAGGCGGCCAACUAAGUCGGAUGUGAAAUCCCCAGGCUCAACCUGGGAACUGCAUCCGAUACUGGAUGGCUUGAAUCCGGGGGAGGGAUGCAGAAUUCCAGGUGUAGCGGUGAAAUGCGUAGAUAUCUGGAGGAAUACCGGUGGCGAAGGCGGCAUCCUGGACCGGCAUUGACGCUGAGUGAGCGAAAGCUAGGGGAGCAAACGGG
rnacentral:rRNA from 1 species